rnacentral:piRNA from 1 species
UGGUCAAUGGCUUCAGGUCAUGGUUCC